AUUUAUCUGACGAGUUCCAAAUGGGACGAAACGCGCAUUAUAGAU
rnacentral:hammerhead_ribozyme from 1 species